UACGAAGGGGGCUAGCGUUGCUCGGAAUCACUGGGCGUAAAGGGUGCGUAGGCGGGUCUUUUAAGUCAGGGGUGAAAUCCUGGAGCUCAACUCCAGAACUGCCUUUGAUACUGAAGAUCUUGAGUUCGGGAGAGGUGAGUGGAACUGCGAGUGUAGAGGUGAAAUUCGUAGAUAUUCGCAAGAACACCAGUGGCGAAGGCGGCUCACUGGCCCGAUACUGACGCUGAGGCACGAAGGCGUGGGGAGCAAACGGG
rnacentral:rRNA from 1 species